rnacentral:other from 1 species
UUCAUGCUGCUUUGCGCGUGAUGGCUCGGAUGGUCGUUUGAGCCAAUGUUUUACCCCAAGUGAAUCGCGACGCCGCGCGGUGUGCAUGCCUCCGCGGAGAGGAAGCCUGAAGCGCGGCUUGACCUAGCGGUUCCACCUGCUCACGCAGGUUCAUACGACCUCCCCACACGGCAAAGCGGCACUUUU